CCGCUCCUCUCCUCAUCUUCUCUCUUUCUCCCUGGCGAUUCUAGGGUUUCAACACCAGAUCGACAUCUCUCUUCCUCAUUAUCAUCACAUGAGGAACUCUCCGACACAAGAUCGACUUCCUCAUUAUCACCACCAUUUCCUCUCUUUCUCCAGGCGAUUCUAGGUUGUACAUGUAGCAGUCGCUUCAAGAUCUACGCUUCCUCAGUGAUGAAUCUCUCUAGAUCCGACACCAGAUUGAUCUACGGUUUGGUUGUGGGUGGAAGAUGAUGAAGAUGUCACAGAUCUACCGUUUGGUGGCCAGAUUGAUCUGUGUUGGAGGUUAAAGAAUGGGUUCAAGCUCAGUUGGGUCGGAUUGAAGAAGAAACCAGACGUUUAGCUUUCAUUCAAGAGGUAUCCGGUGCCGCAGCGGGCGGAAAGUUAUGGAUGCAGUGAAGAGUAUUUUGGACGGUGGAUUAGAGAGAGGAAAGUGGGUGUUUGAAUCAAUUAUGAAAUUGAAAAGCUCUGUUUGCCACAAAGGUUAAUUUUAUCUAUUUAGUCCUUUGCUGUAAGAAUAUGAUAUGCAACGGGUCAAAACAGGUUCUGUUUUGAGACGGGCUGUAUUGGGUUGGGAUGAUCCUUGAAUCACCUUUUGUGUUCAUUUUUUAAUCAAGUAAAGAAUGGUUUACUAAAUCCCAGAACACUAUUUUUACAAUAAAAUUUAUACACGUUAACAAAAUGAAAUAUGAUUUCAAGUGUAUGCACUAGAAAUAGAAUUGGAGUGGCUCUCAACCCUUUAGACCUGAUAAACCUUUUUGACCCAUUCACCGUUCAGCUAAUGCUUUUUGUGUUUUAGGGUUAUCUCGCUUUGUGUUUUAGGGUUUCUCGCUGCCAUAUAUGAGAUGAGUACUGGGUUCAUCAGUCGAUAUCAUUAGAGAUGAGUACUAGAUAAAAAAGCAAUUUAUUUCUAAUGGGCUCAGCUAUGAUCAAAGUUACCAAGUUGAUUCAGGCAUGAAAAGGCUGGCCUUGCACUUCUUCGUGUGCCAAAGUCGUCAGCAGUGCUCUCAGCAAGCGCUACAAAAUAUAUCCAAUAUGAAGCUUUUGUUGGAGAAAGAAAAGGCUGAGCUGGAGCAGUUAAGGAGCGGGAAUGCAAGAGGUUCAAUUUCACCUCCUCACAUCAUAAUAGUUUUCGUUGAUUUGUCUGAUGGCAUUAAGGAUAACCACACCAUUGGGCAUCAGAUACAUAUUAGCUUCAUCAAGAAUGUUUUCAAGGUCACAGGGAAUGGCAGGAACUAAGGGCAAAAAUGCAAGGAGGUGAAAGUGCCUUGGCCGUUGCGGGUGUUCGACCAAUGGAGUUAUCAUAUAGUGGUCACUAGAAUAUGAUGAGUAGUCCAAACGGUAAACAAAGAACAUCAAGUUUGUUGUCACCUAUGUCCGAGUGACAGACGCUUAAAGAAAAUAUUGUUGCUCCAGUUCGUUGUAGUUCCACAAUGUGUGGCCACUUUUAUCACCCGAAAUGCGUAGCUAAGCUGCUCUAGAAAAAUGAUAAGACCGAGCGACAGACGCUUAAAGAAAAUAUUGCUGCAGGGUAACCGUUUGUAUGUCCAGCUCACAUGUGUGCCAUCUGUAAGCAAA